rnacentral:siRNA from 1 species
ACAAGGGGAAUCCGACUGUUUAAU